UGAUUGGGGAGGUUUGCAAUAUAUAAUUUGAAAUUGAAGGGGUUAGGUGAGACCGAAUGCAUCGGAAACCACUUAGGCGAGGAUUUUGAGGGCCGAGCAACCUCGUGGUCAGCGGCAGGAAUGAUUUUCUUUUUCUUUUUUUGUUUAUUUUCGUUUUAUUUUCAUCUAGUCGUUUCGUUUGUGGACUACAGAUGACUUUAUGAAGCCCGAAGGAAGGCAUGUUCAUUUUGUUUUCCGACUUUUUAAUCCGUUUAUUUUAUUCUUCCGGUGCCGCCUGGAUAGCAAGCAGACCUAAUCAUGGGCCAGAUGGCC
rnacentral:lncRNA from 1 species